ACGGCACUUGACUUCCACCGUGGCCCGGGAUACCCUCUCACCGAUGGUGGAAGGUGAGGAGAGAAAGGCCGUGGGGACUUUGAACCUCGGGUACGAGGGACGAUCGCUGCAAGGUUAAAAGAUAGCAGAGAGUCAAUAACAGGCAGUUGGCAAAGUAGAGCUGUCGCCAGUAUUGCAAGGGACCUGUGCCAAUCUGUAUAUUCACCAAUGACCUAGAAAAGGAGGGAGUGGUAACGUGAGGGAGCCUGCUGGGUGAAUUUAAGUUACGCAUUACUCCCUCCCAGCUCAGACCUGUGACACUUAAGUUCUCUGCCGGUGCUGGUGCACGGGGAAGCUACAGCUAAGGAUAGAGUUAAGUGCUCCAGGCAAAGCUGCAGUUGCUUGAGAGUGUGGUUUGGGGACAGAGUGGGUGGGACAGGCGAAGGGGUGCUGUGGCUGGGCUGCCACACAGCAGGGCCCUUAUGCUUCUUCCUCUGGUCCUCUGCGCCAGCCAGCACAGUGAUGGUGGGUCCCAGGUGAGGAGUCCCAGCCUGUGCCUCCCAGCAUCGGCUCAACAGGGAUGAUAAGUGCAGCAGAAGAGGGGGACUGCGAAAGCCAAGGUGGUGGUCAGGGUGGGGAAAUCUGCACUUGCCUCUCUCCAUGAGGGCAGCAGUGGUAGUAGAGCCAAGCACAGCUCUGUGGGGUUUCUGCUGUUCUGAUACUGGAGAGAGCAAAGGAUCAAAAAGCCAGGAAAUGGUAUGUUUGCUAGCUCAGCAUAGAAGGAUAGUGUUAAAUAGGGGAAAGACAGGCUGCAAAGGCAGAUGGGCUUGACUGGGAGCAGGUGAGUAAAUGAAAACAGAGAACAACUGAGGGCAUGGCUGUGGGGGAGAAGGAGAACCCAUGCAAUAGGGUGGGUGUAAGAGGGGCAAGUGCUGCAGUUCAGGGAAAAUGAUAUAUGUGUGCUUGCUUGUUCUUCCUCUAAAUAACCAAAAGGCAUCAUCAGAAGAAAAUAGGAGGCAAGAAAAGUAGCAGCAAUGGGAAGAGAGAGGACUUUGCUCUGUUUCAUAGGAGUUUCAGACAACAUGCAGUUCCUUUGAGGAAGAUAUGGAGCAUGGCAGACAUUGUACAAGAAUAAUUUUCAGCCUCACUGUAUCACUAUGCAGUAUGAUCUGACUGAUGACUGCACACAUGGAUCAGCUGAGACUGUAACACUGCUGAGCAAGACAGAUGGGAAAAUGACAUUGAGAAGGCAACACUCGUGCUGCAUAACAAAUUCAAACUUCUUCUUCCAAAACAUGCUGAACUCUCCUAGGAGUAAGAAAAAUGGUAAUUAUCUUUAGUUAAAAGGUUUUCUUUUCCAAAACACUGUCAGUAUUUAAAAGUGUGUUCAUGCUGAAAGUACCUUUUGUGGAAUCCAGAAGAUAUCUUCAAAACAAUUCUAUUUUCCUUACAAAUCUCCUUCAUUUUUCAAGCCACCCUACUGAUUUACCAUUUAGAUGCCAAUAUCUAAGUAUGUCCAAUUACCUCUGUCACCUGAAUAUCCUAUUGCCCAAAAGAUUUAUAUGUCAGGAAUCAAGUUAAGCUUGUCCCCUCAAAUGCGCAACAAUGCAUGCAAAAUCAAAAAUUAAUGAAUACAUUUUCUAAUGACUAUGUCAAUUUACAAAUUUCUGUCACACAAGCUUUUAUGAUUACUAUACUUAACACAGUCCUAUCACUGCUUCUCUUCGUUUUCUCUCCUUUGCAUUUCACAAAGUCCCAAUAAUUUACAUACCUAACACCUAGAAUCCUUGUACUAAGAUAUAUUUGGUAAUCAAUAAUUAAACUAAAUAACAAAUAGUCAUAAUUUUGUCGUUACAUAUGUCUUAUCAUUCUAAACAGAAGUGGCAAUAGUUAAAUGGCUGCACAGUGUUCAAGUUACUUGUAGAAGGGAGAAAUACAAAAGAACAAUUACAAGCCAAAGUCAGUUACAGAAUAAUUUCCAGAAAUUUAACUAAGAUUUUUAUAAUGAACAGUUGAGGAUCUUUUUCUUACUUUUUUGGCAAAGGGCACUGUAGGCCUGAGCACUGAGAGACCCUUAGUUCUUUAAAAUUCAUGUAUCUGUGACUAGUAACAUUUGGUUUGUCUUAAAGCAGACACUUGAAGUCAGUUCCAUGUUUAUGAACACAAAUAGGCUCACUGUCUUCCCAUAGCCAUGGGCACCUGAGUAUGAAGAGGAGAUCCUUUUGUAAGAAAUGGGACAAAUGGAAAGAUGGACAUCUCUGACCUUUAAGGCUAAAAGUGUUAAAAUUUUAAAACAAACUGUUGGAUUCCCUGAGGUUUCCUCAAUGAUUAUGCACUUUACUCCUUUCCCCAACAUGAGAUGCCUCGCUUCCAUAUUCCCAUCAAAGCUUUUUUCCCCAGCUUUGAGUCCACUAUCCUGUGUAGUAGCCCAUGACUGGAAUUACCCUUUUCCAGCACCUCUGGCAACUGCCAUUACCAUAUUUGCCUUUUUUUGCAACUACGUAGUGCACUCAGGACAAGCAGAAUGUCACAUAUUCCCAGUAAUCUUCACUAAGACAUUUUUUCUAAAGAAAUUAAAGACUCCUGAGAAUUCACUGUCCAGACUUCUCCUGAAGUUUGCUCCUCGUUUGCUUUGCAAGACCCAAAACUUCACCCUGGAAUCCCCUUAAUAACAAUCCCCACACAAAACUCCAGACAAGAUUCCAUUUUAGCAUCUUCUGCCCUGUCUUUCCAGAGAUAUUUUCUCAGCAGACUUAUAAUUGACCGAGGUCUCGGCCCUCUUCCUAAAUAAACUUUUGCCAGGCAGAGCACUCUCCUCCCACUGUGGUCUCCCAUUUCCUCUUUCAAAGACUCUUUUGCAGGAGAGUCUAAGAUUAUGUUUAUCUGCUUGUCCCCAGAAGGAGAUAACUGAGGGUUAACCAGGCUCCUUGAUUUUUCUGGUAACAUGAAUUGUACAUACCUCAUCGCAGGUUCUCCAAUAUCCUCCUUUCCUGUUUCUUUAUGCUUUCUGUUACAAUCCUAGCAAGUGUGCCUUCCUGCCAAUCCUCCACAUCUGUUUUUGCCUCUUCCUAUGCUGGACUCCGAUCCUUCUGUGCUUUUCCAGUCUCCUUCUACACGUCUGUAUCCCCUCCACUCCUGGCUUCGAUGGUUUGCAACAGCAGUCAGUCAGUCAGUUUCUAAAUGUGAUAAAGCAGCUGUAUGUGAGCAUGACACAGCCAGUAGCUAUAGUAACAGGAAAGCAUACUUUAAACAAAAACGAAACAAAAAAAAAUCUGAGCGGUAUCUCUCAUCUUUUCCCCCAUCCCCAAAUAUUGCAGGGUUCCAUAAAUAUCUUCCUGCAAAUCCUCACCUGAUUGUAUGUCCCCCUAGCCCAAGACAGGGUGAGAUAGAAAUAAAACUUUCUUUUGCCUGGCUUAAGGAGGAAAAUAAAUAAGUAAUCACACACAACAAAACUAGAAAGAAAAUAUGAUCUCUUUCCUGGAAAAAGAAAAAAAUAAAUCUGUAAGUUGCAAAUCCGGGAUAGGCAAAAUUGUCACUAUCCCAGUUCUGCCUUAAUUUCUGAUACAGGUUCAGCCAUAGGACCCUUGCGGGCUGUGAAAUUAAUUUCCACUGUUCCCUUUUUAUUGUCUUGUUCUCUUGGUCAUCUUUCCUUCCUGCAGUAAACCAUCAGCAUGA